CGGGGUGUAGCUCAGUUUGGUGGAGCGCCUGCCUUGGGAGCAGGAGGCCGCACGUUCAAAUCGUGUCACCCCGACCA
rnacentral:tRNA from 3 species